rnacentral:rRNA from 1 species
AACGCGAAGAACCUUACCAAGGUUUGACAUGCAGGGAAAAGCCGUAGAGAUACGGUGUCCGUAAGGGUCCUGCACAGGUGGUGCAUGGCUGUCGUCAGCUCGUGUCGUGAGAUGUUGGGUUAAGUCCCGCAACGAGCGCAACCCUCGUCCUAUGUUGCCAGCGGGUAAUGCCGGGGACUCAUAGGAGACUGCCGGGGUCAACUCGGAGGAAGGUGGGGAUGAGGUCAAGUCAUCAUGCCCCUUAAGUCUUGGGCUGCAAACAUGCUACAAUGGCCGGUACAGAGGGCUGCGAAACCGCAAGGUGGAGCGAAUCUCAAAAAGCCGGUCUCAGUUCGGAUUGGGGUCUGCAACUCGACCCCAUGAAGUCGGAGUCGCUAGUAAUCGCGAAUCAGCAACGUCGCGGUGAAUACGUUCCCGGGCCUUGUA